rnacentral:tRNA from 1 species
GCGUGAAUGGUUUAGUGGUAAAAUUCUCCGUUGCCAUCCGCAACGAUCGGGGAGCCCUGGGUUCGAUUCCCAGUUCACGCA